rnacentral:rRNA from 1 species
GUCCCAGUUCGGACUGUAGUCUGCAACCCGACUACACGAAGCCGGAAUCGCUAGUAAUCGCGAAUCAGAAUGUCGCGGUGAAUACGUUCCCGGGUCUUGUACACACCGCCCGUCACACCAUGGGAGUCGGAAAUGCCCGAAGUCAGUGACCUAACCGAAAGGGAGGAGCUGCCGAAGGUGGAGCCGGUAACUGGGGUGAAGUCGUAACAAGGUAUC